GAAACGACUGCUAAGACUGGAUAGGAAAAGUAAAGGCAUCUUCACUUUUUUAAAAGACCUUCUUUGAAGGUAUGCUUAAGGAAGGGCUUGCGACACAUUAGUUAGUUGGCAGGGUAAAGGCCUACCAAGACUAUGAUGUGUAGCUGGACUGAGAGGUUGAACAGCCACAUUGGGACUGAGACACGGCCCAAACUCCUACGGGAGGCAGCAGUAGGGAAUUUUCGGCAAUGGAGGAAACUCUGACCGAGCAACGCCGCGUGAACGAUGAAGUAUUUCGGUAUGUAAAGUUCUUUUAUUAAGGAAGAAAAAAGAGUGGAGAAACUCCCUUGACGGUACUUAAUGAGUAAGCCCCGGCUAAUUAUGUGCCAGCAGCCGCGGUAAUACAUAAGGGGCGAGCGUUAUCCGGAAUUAUUGGGCGUAAAGGGUGCGUAGGCGGUUUAAUAAGUCUAUAGUUUAAUUUCAGUGCUUAACGCUGUUAUGCUAUAGAAACUGUUUUACUAGAGUGAGAUAGAGGCAAGCGGAAUUCCAUGUGUAGCGGUAAAAUGCGUACAUAUAUGGAGGAACACCAGAGGCGUAGGCGACUUGCUGGGUCUUUACUGACGCUGAGGCACGAAAGCGUGGGGAGCAAACAGGAUUAGAUACCCUGGUAGUCCACGCCGUAAACGAUGAGUACUAAGUGUCGGGUAAAACCGGUACUGAAGUUAACACAUUAAGUACUCCGCCUGAGUAGUACGUACGCAAGUAUGAAACUUAAAGGAAUUGACGGGACUCCGCACAAGCGGUGGAUCAUGUUGUUUAAUUCGAAGAUACACGAAAAACCUUACCAGGUCUUGACAUUUUCUUGCGAAGUUAUAGAAAUAUAAUGGAGGUUAUCAGGAAAACAGGUGGUGCAUGGUUGUCGUCAGCUCGUGUCGUGAGAUGUUAGGUUAAGUCCUAAAACGAGCGCAAUCCUUGUCGUUAAUUGCCAGCAUGUAAUGAUGGGGACUUUAACGAGACUGCCAAUGAAAAAUUGGAGGAAGGUGGGGAUUACGUCAAAUCAUCAUGCCCCUUAUGAUCUGGGCUACAAACGUGAUACAAUGGUUGAUACAAAGAGUAGCUGAAACGCGAGUUCUUAGCCAAUCUCACAAAAUCAAUCUCAGUUCGGAUUGAAGUCUGCAACUCGACUUCAUGAAGUUGGAAUCGCUAGUAAUCGCGAAUCAGCAUGUCGCGGUGAAUACGUUCUCGGGGUUUGUACACACCGCCCGUCA
rnacentral:rRNA from 1 species